GAUGAACGCUAGCGGCAGGCCUAACACAUGCAAGUCGAGGGAGAAGCCCUUUCGGGGGCAGAAACCGGCGCACGGGUGCGUAACGCGUAUGCAACCUACCUUUCACAGGGGGAUAGCCCGAAGAAAUUUGGAUUAAUACCCCAUAAUAUUAUUGGAUGGCAUCAUUUGAUAAUUAAAACUGCGGUGGUGAAAGAUGGGCAUGCGUCCUAUUAGCUAGUUGGAGUGGUAACGGCACCCCAAGGCUACGAUAGGUAGGGGUCCUGAGAGGGAGAUCCCCCACACUGGUACUGAGACAGGGACCAGACUCCUACGGGAGGCAGCAGUGAGGAAUAUUGGUCAAUGGUCGGAAGACUGAACCAGCCAUGCCGCGUGCAGGAAGAAUGCCUUAUGGGUUGUAAACUGCUUUUAUAUGGGAAGAAUAAGGCGUGCGUGUACGUUGAUGACGGUACCAUAUGAAUAAGCAUCGGCUAACUCCGUG
rnacentral:rRNA from 1 species